AGUGAACGCUGGCGGCAGGCCUAAUACAUGCAAGUCGAACGGCAGCACAGCAGAGCUUGCUCUGUGGGUGGCGAGUGGCGGACGGGUGAGGAAUACAUGGGAAUCUGCCCAGUCGUGGGGGAUAACGUAUGGAAACGUACGCUAAUACCGCAUGCGCCCUAAGGGGGAAAGCCGGGACCGCAAGGCCUGGCGCGAUUGGAUGAGCCCAUGUUCGAUUAGCUAGUUGGCGGGGUAAAGGCCCACCAAGGCGACGAUCGAUAGCUGGUCUGAGAGGAUGAUCAGCCACACUGGAACUGAGACACGGUCCAGACUCCUACGGGAGGCAGCAGUAGGGAAUAUUGGACAAUGGGGGCAACCCUGAUCCAGCCAUGCCGCGUGAGUGAAGAAGGCCCUCGGGUUGUAAGCUCUUUUGUCCGGAAGAAAAGCAAUCGGUUAAUACCCGGUUGUUCUGACGGUACCGGAAGAAUAAACACCGGCUAACUUCGUGCCAGCAG
rnacentral:rRNA from 1 species